rnacentral:rRNA from 1 species
UACGGAGGGUGCAAGCGUUAUCCGGAUUCACUGGGUUUAAAGGGUGCGUAGGUGGGCUGGUAAGUCAGUGGUGAAAUCUCCAGGCUUAACUUGGAAACUGCCAUUGAUACUAUUAGUCUUGAAUACCGUGGAGGUCAGCGGAAUAUGUCAUGUAGCGGUGAAAUGCUUAGAUAUGACAUAGAACACCAAUUGCGAAGGCAGCUGGCUACACGAAUAUUGACACUGAUGCACGAAAGCGUGGGGAGCGAACAGG